rnacentral:rRNA from 1 species
GCUCAGGACGAACGCUGGCGGCGUGCCUAAUACAUGCAAGUCGAGCGGACAGAAGGGAGCUUGCUCCCGGAUGUUAGCGGCGGACGGGUGAGUAACACGUGGGUAACCUGCCUGUAAGACUGGGAUAACUCCGGGAAACCGGAGCUAAUACCGGAUAGUUCCUUGAACCGCAUGGUUCAAGGAUGAAAGACGGUUUCGGCUGUCACUUACAGAUGGACCCGCGGCGCAUUAGCUAGUUGGUGGGGUAAUGGCUCACCAAGGCGACGAUGCGUAGCCGACCUGAGAGGGUGAUCGGCCACACUGGGACUGAGACACGGCCCAGACUCCUACGGGAGGCAGCAGUAGGGAAUCUUCCGCAAUGGACGAAAGUCUGACGGAGCAACGCCGCGUGAGUGAUGAAGGUUUUCGGAUCGUAAAGCUCUGUUGUUAGGGAAGAACAAGUGCGAGAGUAACUGCUCGCACCUUGACGGUACCUAACCAGAAAGCCACGGCUAACUACGUGCCAGCAGCCGCGGUAAUACGUAGGUGGCAAGCGUUGUCCGGAAUUAUUGGGCGUAAAGGGCUCGCAGGCGGUUUCUUAAGUCUGAUGUGAAAGCCCCCGGCUCAACCGGGGAGGGUCAUUGGAAACUGGGAAACUUGAGUGCAGAAGAGGAGAGUGGAAUUCCACGUGUAGCGGUGAAAUGCGUAGAGAUGUGGAGGAACACCAGUGGCGAAGGCGACUCUCUGGUCUGUAACUGACGCUGAGGAGCGAAAGCGUGGGGAGCGAACAGGAUUAGAUACCCUGGUAGUCCACGCCGUAAACGAUGAGUGCUAAGUGUUAGGGGGUUUCCGCCCCUUAGUGCUGCAGCUAACGCAUUAAGCACUG